rnacentral:rRNA from 1 species
AUGAUUCCCAACCUCUCCGCCCUCCAGAACCACUUCGGCGCCGCCGCCGCCGGCAGCGACGACCUCGGCGCCCUCUUCUCCGCCGACGCCGCCGACCAGCUUGCCCUCGAGUUCCCCACCUGCAACGACUUCGAUGGGUUCCAGAAGGCGACCAAGGAGAUGGUGAACAACAAGAAGGGAACCACCACGCUCUCCUUCAUCUUCGACAAGGGCGUCAUCGUCGCCGCCGACUCCCGGGCCAGCAUGGGCGGCUACAUAUCUUCGCAAACUGUGAGGAAAAUCAUCGAGAUUAAUCCCUACAUGCUGGGAACCAUGGCUGGAGGUGCUGCUGAUUGCCAGUUUUGGCAUAGAAACUUGGGGGUAAAGUGCCGGCUCCAUGAGCUUGCCAACAAGCGAAGGAUCUCUAUUGCUGGUUCUUCAAAGACGUUAGCUAAUAUCCUUUACUCGUACCGCGGGAUGGGACUUUCAAUCGGUACAAUGAUUGCUGGAUUUGAUGAAACUGGUCCGGGAUUGUACUAUGUUGACAGUGAGGGUGCAAGGCUCAAGGGAAGCCGGUUCUCUGUUGGUUCUGGCUCUCUAUAUGCUUAUGGUAUCUUGGAUGAGGGUUACAAAUUCAACAUGUCAGUUGAGGAAGCUGCUGAGUUAGCACGGCGGGCUAUUUAUCAUGCAACAUUCCGUGACGGAGCCAGUGGUGGCUGUGUUAGUGUCUACUACGUUGGCCCUGACGGCUGGAAGAAGCUGUCUGGAGAUGAUGUUGGGGAGCUGCACUACCACUACUACCCAGUCCAGGCGGCUCCCGUCGAGCAAGAGAUGGCCGAGGCCCCUUCUGCGUCAACCUGA